AUUCACCGCUUGCCGCAGUUUUUCUCUCUUCUGCCACAGGCUUGACAUAAGAAAGACACCAAUGAAAGAAAAAAAUCCUUGUCUGCAGAGCCCAGCCCUAAGACACUUUCCUUCAGGAAAAAGCGGACCCAUGAGGAUCUGAUGGUCAUCCUGGGGCGAGGCCACCGGGCGGCUGUCGGGGGGGCCAGCUCUGCACAGCGCCACCUCAUUGUCUGUGGCCGUCACGGACAUCAUGAGGCUCGGGCUCCCCGAGGAAUGGACGUGAAGCAACGAGCAAGCACCCUCACUAAACAGGAGCAGGCGCUCAGGGCGCUGCUGCCGAUCUUAAGGAAGAUCCUGUUCCCCGAACGAGUGCCAGCUGCGGCGUGGGGUCCUCACUCGAGACCAUUCUCUGGGGCCCAGUGAGGCGAGAGGCAGAACGAAGGCCUCCUCGUUAGGCCCCAUCCCGGCCUCUGGCCGGAACUGAUCGGGAGAGUCACACGUGCACGGUUUAGGGUCUAGAUAAUCAACAAAACAAUGAGUCAAGUCCCAACGUAUAGUAUUUGCUGAUUUCUACAGUGUAAAUAGCCCUAUCACAGCCAAGGGCAAGGUGCCAUGAUGUCACCGAACCGACUUGGAAAGAGAGGCACAGUAACACAUCAUUCUGUGGUAUUUCCGACCUACAGGCACAAUAAACAAUUUAUUCUCAGCAUAAAAUCUAUUAUUCCUUAAAAUGUCAAGAAAGUAAAGCUUUGACCAGAAGGAGGAAAGUGGGCCUGUGUGCUCCCAUCUCAGGAACAGGAGGCCGAGUGUAUGCUGGGAACGUCAGAGUGACAGCUAUCCAGACACCAGAAACAGGACCCGAUUCCUGCCCCAGGGCUUAUAACAAAGGCUCCAACCAGGCUUUUUUCCAAAAAUGUUUUUAAUUCCGACAUCCAUCUUAAUGGCUUACGGUAGCCUAAUUUAGCCAGUAGUUUGUUAUACUAAAAAUGGAAGCUAAUGAUUUCAGCUAAAAACAACUAAGUCAGUGCCAUCAAAGUAUAUUGUAAGAAACUGAU